rnacentral:rRNA from 1 species
CCUACGGGUGACAGCAGUGAGGAAUAUUGGUCAAUGGACGAGAGUCUGAACCAGCCAAGUAGCGUGAAGGAUGACUGCCCUAUGGGUUGUAAACUUCUUUUAUAUGGGAAUAAAAUGUUCCACGUGUGGGAUUUUGUAUGUACCAUAUGAAUACGGAUCGGCUAACUCCGUGCCAGCAGCCGCGGUAAUACGGAGGAUCCGAGCGUUAUCCGGAUUUAUUGGGUUUAAAGGGAGAGUAGGUGGAUUGUUAAGUCAGUUGUGAAAGUUUGCGGCUCAACCGUAAAAUUGCAGUUGAAACUGGCAGUCUUGAGUACAGUAGAGGUGGGCGGAAUUCGUGGUGUAGCGGUGAAAUGCUUAGAUAUCACGAAGAACUCCGAUUGCGAAGGCAGUUCACUGGACUGCAAAUGACACUGAGGCUCGAAAGUGUGGGUAUCAAACAGGAUUAGAUACCCUAGUAGUC